rnacentral:tRNA from 1 species
GCCGCGCUGGCCGAGCAGCUCGGCGCCCGCCUGGAGGGUGGGCUCCCAGUCGAAGACGACGGCGUUCUGGUCGCUGCCGAUGCGCACCUC